rnacentral:rRNA from 1 species
GAUGAACGCUGGCGGCGUGCCUAAUACAUGCAAGUCGAGCGAACAGAUGAGGAGCUUGCUCCUCUGACGUUAGCGGCGGACGGGUGAGUAACACGUGGAUAACAUACCUAUAAGACUGGGAUAACUUCGGGAAACCGGAGCUAAUACCGGAUAAUAUAUUGAACCGCAUGGUUCAAUAGUGAAAGACGGUUUUGCUGUCACUUAUAGAUGAAUCCACGCCGCAUUAGCUAGUUGGUAAGUUAACGGCUUACCAAGGCAACGAUGCGUAGCCGACCUGAGAGGGUGAUCGGGCACACUGGAACUGAGACACGGUCCAGACUCCUACGGGAGGCAGCAGUAGGGAAUCUUCCGCGAUGGGGGAAAGCGUGAUGUAGCAACGCCGCGUGAGCGAUGAAGGACUUCGGAUGGGAAAACUCUGUUAUUAGGGAAGAACAAAUGUGUAAGUAACUAUGCACGUAUUGACGGUACCUAAUCAGAAAGCCACGGCUAACUACGUG